rnacentral:lncRNA from 1 species
UUCCACUCAGUCCUAGUCAACAUUCCACUAACUCCCCCUUACCUUAUCUCUUCCAUCUCCUUCCUUUUUUCCAUCUAUUUGCAGAACACGUCUGUCCUCUCCUCGUCCUUCCUCUCCUCUUCUCCACCUUCCUCUUUUCCACCCAUAUCCAUCCUCCUGUCUUCUCCACCUUCCUCUUUUCCACAACUAUCCAUCUCCUAUCCUUAUUUAUUUUAUUUUAAUGAUGGGUCGAUCUCACCCCCAGCAGAGCUCCAGGGAAAGUAGUUGUUCAAAGCAUUCUCCUAAUUCAGGCGUGGACAAGUGUUUUCAUGGGUACGAAGCCGUAGUGAAGGGUGCGGGAUGGUUGCUAACGGGGAAGACCAUUCCUACGGUGUCCAUUUUGGAAUGGCUCUACCAAUUGUGGGUUCUUUGGUGGAUUGAGGAUCGGUGGCAAACUCCUACAUACAUCAAGAUCGUGAUAGACUGGUUAAGCGGCAUGCUGAAACCGAUGUUAGUGAAGCCAAGAUCGAAGAUUAUGAGGAACUUUUGAGAGUUAGUUGUGACCAAAUGAAGUGUAUUACCUUCUAGAUAGACUGUUUGAAAUUCAGGGUCUCGUUAAUACUGUACAUUCUAUGUUGCAUUGUGUUUGUGCUUGUGCUUGUGCUUAUUGGUAUUAUCAUAUUAAUAUAGUACACGUAUGAUGCUUAAUAACACUGGAACAAAAUCUUACUGACACAUCAAUGACACGUGUCUCCUUAAUCUCUUUAGCUAUGUCUUGUGGCUCAAUGUUGCUAUAAGUUUGAAAUCGUGACAGGUACUCGUUAACUAUCCGUUUGGCCGUUGUACUUUGGUUUCGCAUGGUACAUGGACAGCUAUGAGCGACACCAACAGACUUCACAAUGAAUGCCUCAUUCCUCCCAAACCAGGAAGAAAAUACUCACCAUCUCGACCAGUCCACCUUGCAGACAGCUUCCUUAUUCAGCUUGUUGGAAAAGUUUUUCAAUUUUAUAUCACAACAACCGCUAUUGUGUAAUUCACUACUACUUCUUUGAACUGGCUAGGGCUGUUGAAUUUCAUUAUGGUUUUCCAUACCAGUUUUGAGUGGUCACAACAUGGAUUGUAAUGGUAAUUGUGCCCACAGAGUAUAUUCAUUCCUUGCCAUCAAUAUUGUCGUUGACAUCAUGCUGAAACUCAGAUAAAUUUCGGUAACUUGAACGAGCAGGGCUUUCAUUGGGGUUGACUCCUGAAACUGCAGUGUUGACGGCAUGGUCAACGUCACUAAGUCCAUAUUCAUCGUCAGUAUCCAUAUCACUUACACCAUCAGAAUUAGGGGCUUCAACAGAUUGCU